CACAUACUCCCUCCGUCCGGAAAUACUCGUCGGAGGAAUGGAUGUACCUAGAUGUAUUUUAGUUCUAGAUACAUUCAUUUUUAUGCAUUUUUUCGACAAGUAUUUCCGGACGGAGGGAGUAUUAU
rnacentral:pre_miRNA from 1 species